rnacentral:rRNA from 1 species
UAAGCAUUCCGCCUGGGGAGUACGGCCGCAAGGUUAAAACUCAAACGAAUUGACGGGGCCCCGCACAAGCAGCGGAGCGUGUGGUUUAAUUCGAUGCUACACGAAGAACCUUACCUGGGUUUGACAUGUAGGUGGUAGUGAAUCGAAAGGUGAACGACCCUUCGGGGAGCCUACACAGGUGCUGCAUGGCAGUCGUCAGCUCGUGCCGUGAGGUGUCGGGUUAAGUCCCGUAACGAGCGCAACCCUUGCUCCUAGUUACAAGUGUCUAGGGGGACUGCCGGCGGAAAGCCGGAGGAAGGUGGGCGAUGACGUCAAGUCAGCAUGGCCCUUAUAUCCAGGGCUACACACACGCUACAAUGGUCGGUACAAAGGGCAGCGAAACCGCGAGGCGGAGCGAAUCCGAGAAAAGCCGAUCGUAGUUCGGAUAGCAGGCUGCAACCCGCCUGCUUGAAGCUGGAGUUGCUAGUAACCGCGCGUCAGCCAUAGCGCGCUCCAUACGUUCCCGGGGCUGUACACACCGCCCGUCACGUCAUGGGAGUCGGUAACGCCUGAAGCCGGUAGUCUAAC